GACUCCAUAGCUAAGUGGUUAUAGCAUGAGAUUGCAGUGAUGCAUAUAUGUGUGUAAUGAUCUCGGGGUCGCGUGUUCGAGUCACGCUGGGGUCU